GGAAUAUUGCGCAAUGGCCGAAAGGCUGACGCAGCGACGCCGCGUGUGGGAGGAAGCCCUUCGGGGUGUAAACCACUGUCAGGAGGGACGAAACCCGGGCACUCGAAUAGCGUGUUCGAUUGACGGUACCCCCAAAGGAAGCCCCGGCUACCUCCGUGCCCGCAGCCGCGGUAAGCCGGAGGGCGCGAGCGUUGUUCGGAAUCACUGGGCGUAAAGCGCACGCAGGCGGUUUCUUAAGUCCACUGUUAAAUCACGGGGCUCAACCCCGGAGGUGCAGCGGAUACUGAGGGACUGGAGACCGGUAGAGGCUAGCGGAAUUCCUGGUGUAGCGGUGGAAUGCGUAGAUAUCAGGAGGAACACCGGUGGCGAAGGCGGCUAGCUGGGCCGGUUCUGACGCUCAUGUGCGAAAGCGUGGGGAGCAA
rnacentral:rRNA from 1 species